rnacentral:tRNA from 1 species
GCCGGAGUGGUGGAAUUGGCAGACACGCACGGUUCAGAGCCGUGUACUGAAAGGUGUGAGGGUUCGAGUCCCUCUUCCGGCA